UUUAUUCCAAUGCCUCCCCUUGUUUUCGGCUUCACAGGCAACCAAUGUGUUAACUACUCUGAUAAUUGUGUAUGCAAUUUCCCCUCUCUUUUCUCUUCGCCUUCCAGAUCUCUCAUCGUACCCAAAUCUUCCCCUCUAGACGCCAUGAUCUACCAACGGAGAGGCACAUGUUUUCUCGUCAUCACCGUCAUCCUCCUCCUCCUACCUCUGAUGGCUUCCUAUCCAUGUGUGGCCACUGCACAUGACCCACUGCGUCGUGCUCCAGGUGGAGACAUUGGUGUGUGGGGUCGUUCAGAUGGGCUACAUCAUGAAGGGGAAAAGGUGUUUGGGAUGGGGGCUGCGAGGCGCUUGGGGCAGAGGAAACCGAUGAAGAACCCUCCCUCGCCUGUCCCCAAUGAAAACAUGGGGGUGGUGUUACCCCUGACACCGCCACCACCGUCGUUGAUCAAUAAACAGGCGUUGGAGGUCCGGGAUACGAGCAUGCCAUGUUGACUUUCGUGCACCUCCUUAUCUGUUGUUGUUGUGUUAUAGGAAUAGUUUCGCUAUUGUGAAAUAAGUUGGCAUGCUUCAAAGUGUUAAAAUAUAUUGUUUGCUUAUGUAUACCAAUUUGGACUUUUGAGAGAAAUGGUGAAAAUAUAAUUUUAUUA